AUGUACAUUCCUACAACAUAACAUUAAUGCAUCGGAUCUCAUUAUAAAUCCACAUUUAAUCAUGCUCAGGAUAGAGUAGUACUAGGAUGGGUGACCGCCUGGGAAGUACUAGUGUUUUACAUG
rnacentral:rRNA from 1 species